CUGUGAAUUUUUGGUCGGCAGUGUGGCGUGUUCUUGUGGGGGAGUUUCAGCGUGGGAUACGAAUUAACUGCGCUUUCCUUCAACAAGGCGUUUUCCAACUCUAUCUCCUUAGAAGCGCGGACCUGGACUUUUGUUUGUGUUGACCAGGGCACCUAAG